rnacentral:rRNA from 1 species
UUGAACGCUGGCGGCAUGCCUUACACAUGCAAGUCGAACGGCAGCACGGGAGCAAUCCUGGUGGCGAGUGGCGAACGGGUGAGUAAUAUAUCGGAACGUGCCCAGUCGUGGGGGAUAACGCAGCGAAAGCUGUGCUAAUACCGCAUACGCCCUGAGGGGGAAAGUGGGGGAUCGCAAGACCUCACGUUAUUCGAGCGGCCGACGUCUGAUUAGCUAGUUGGUGAGGUAAUGGCUCACCAAGGCGACGAUCAGUAGCGGGUCUGAGAGGAUGAUCCGCCACACUGGAACUGAGACACGGUCCAGACUCCUACGGGAGGCAGCAGUGGGGAAUUUUGGACAAUGGGGGCAACCCUGAUCCAGCCAUUCCGCGUGAGUGAAGAAGGCCUUCGGGUUGUAAAGCUCUUUCAGCUGGAACGAAACGGUACGCUCUAACAUAGCGUGCUAAUGACGGUACCAGCAGAAGAAGCACCGGCUAACUACGU